GAUUUUUUUCGCGGGUGGAAAUAUUCUAAAUUUUAUUUACAAUGACACAAAUAUUCUGAAUUUCGUUAUUCUUGACUCACCCAACUAAUUUUAGAAGACUUUUUCCCAAAAAAAAAAAAAAAAACUAGUUUUAGAAGACUAAAAUAUUAUUAAAACCUAAUUAAAAAAACUUGAGAACUCACGCAAAACCCUUCGUCUUCCAUACAUUUCAUUGCACAGUAACAUUACACAUCUCUCUGACUAUGGCGGUUUCGGAUUUUCUCAAGCAAUCCGAAUCUUGAUGCAUGGUGAAGUUUCAUGAAAAUUCUGUUUUUAUCUCACAAUUCAAUUAGCUUUAGUCCAAAUUCUCAAUAUUCUGGGUCGAAAUCACAUAUUGCGGUUCAGUAGGAGUUCGAGAGCGUAAUUUUUUUGUCGAAUUCCGGUUCAUCAGGUUUCAAAAGCAUCAAAAUUCUGGGCCGAAUUGCCACUUGCGGUUCAUCAGGAGUUCGAAAGCUUCCAAUUUGCCCCAAGAAUCUGAUAAUUUCAGCAUCUUCCGAGUUUAGAGAUGACAAAUUCUGUAAAUUGAAGCUGCUAAUUGACGCAAACUCCAUACUCGUUGAUUUUCUUCUGCAAAUUACUCAAGGUGUUGAUUGCUCGCGAGUGCUAUAUUUCAUUGUCCCAGAAUAGUUGGAUCUGCAUUUAGUGUUUGUGUGAUUGUGCCAGACAUGGCUGCUCCACCACCUAUUCCUCUAGAUUCCCCCUGGAGAGGAGUUGCCUCUUGUUUUGACCCCCGUUCGGAUAUCGCGAUUGACGAGCUCCAGCUUGAGUACGUGGCGAUGACCGUCGAGAUAUACAACACUGCUGUGGUUGACGCUGAUCAUGACUGGCCUCACCCUCCACUGUCCGAGAUUGUAUACCGGACCUUGCGCUAUGAUUUUCUUCACAUCUUCAGGUGGGAUACCCGGGCUUUCGACGAGAUUUUUUUGCAUGGAUUCCAUGCCCGACCUCAGGAUGCGGGUACUACUGAUCAGGUGUAUUUCAGCCUCACCGAUCAUGUGAGCAGGGGCGUUCGCCCUUUGGCCAUGCAGGGUCCCCCGCAUGUGUUCAUCAGCUGCACUUCUUCAGCCAGUUACACCCCGAGCGUCUCGGAGUAUCGAAAUGUUUUUCGAUACGAGAUAUAUGCUCCAGGUGGGAUCAAUGUGGCGGAGUCUCUCCCGGAUUACGCUUUUCCUUCCCAGGACGAGGUGUCUUUUGUUCAGCACAUCCAUCCUUCUUACAUCUUCUCGGCCCAGCUCUUCCGGCUACGUCCAGGACGAAUCCUCCCAUUUGCCACUAAGCUCAUAAUUAUCCUCAGUUAUUCAACGCUUGAAACGACGGUAUUCCAGGCGGGAGCGGGUUGAUGACAUGCUGCACCUUAAUGAUGGAUUCGACGCGGCCCCGAUGUUUCAGAACUUCUUCCCCCGCUAUUCAGUCCAAGUGUGUAAUCGAGCAUUACAAGUACAAUAUCACUAAAGGUAAAAAAAGUUCAAGGCCACCGAUACAGGAAAAUUGCGUGCAGAAUACAGUCGCCUCGUUGAAGGAUUGGCUCAAAGGGGAAAUUUAUCGAGUGGUGAUACUUGGCUUUCCAACCCGGCUCUGCCUGAUGAUAUCUUAAAAGAGGCGGUAGCAGGGAAUAUUCGCCGAGCAGAGCAUUUUUUAUCUGUUUUGCGUAGAUUGGUGCAAUAUAUCAAAGGCCGGUUACAAACUGAUAAUUUUAAAAAGGAGUCACCUGUUUCUUUUGUAGCAUCCCUACAUGCGCAAGCUGGACUUGACCAAAAAACCUUGAAAUUCUGUUAUGACCGCCUGCACUCCCUGAUGUUGACCCUUGAAAUAACUGAUACAGAUGAGUUCUCAAGUAUUCACUUGCUAUAAAGCCUGUAUUUGAACGUUUCCAGACAGUUGUAAUUACCUUUGGAACUCUGAGCCUAUCGAUCUGUACCUACGUCUUCUUAAUUUUAAUCCUGUAGUCAGUCGAAGUUUUACUAUGUCCUUGACGAGGGAGUGCAUAUGUCCAAUGGUCCUAACUCGUGGAAGUUAUCAACUUCCAGUUAGCACGAAGUAUGAUAUGAGAAGUGAUCCUGGUGUUGGAAGAAACUAUGGGAGACUAUUUCUUCGUCAGUUAUUCAUAUAUGGAUGCCAUUGUUUAUACUUGGAAUGAAACUGGAAUUCUAAAGGGGAAAGGUAGCCGAAGGUAUAGAUUUUGAUCGACAUUAUGGAAGACUAGUGAUCAUGUUUGGUGUUCCAUUCCAGUACACUUUGAGCAAGUGAGUUGAUAUGUUCCCUUCUUCAGAUAAACUUGCUAUUGCUCUUGUACUUUUAUUACUUCUGCCCUUGCAAUUGCAUGUUGCAUAUCUUUUUAUUUUCUA